GAGUUUGAUUAUGGCUCAGGACGAACGCUGGCGGCGUGCGUAACACAUGCAAGUUGAACGACGGUGUCAUGAAGUGGUAACACGGAAUGGCAUACGGAGUAGCGGACGGGUGAGUACAACAUGAGAAGCUGUCCAAUAGUGGGGGAUAACGUUCGGAAACGGACCCUAAUACCCCAUAGGCCUUUUGGUUAAAGCAGCGAUGCGCUAUUGGAGGUGCUCGUGUCCUAUCAGCUGGUUGGUGAGGUAACGGCUCACCAAGGCGACGACGGGUAGCCGGCCUGAGAGGGUGUCCGGCCACACUGGAACUGAGAUACGGUCCAGACUCCUAUGGGAGGCAGCAGUGGGGAAUAUUGGGCAAUGGGAGAAAUCCUGACCCAGCGACGCCGCGUGAACGAAGAAGGCCUUCGGGUCGUAAAGUUCUUUUAUGU
rnacentral:rRNA from 1 species